CACGUAGGGCGCAAGCGUUGUCCGGAAUUAUUGGGCGUAAAGAGCUCGUAGGUGGUUUGUUACGUCUGCUGUGAAAACCUAGGGCUUAACCCUGGGCUUGCAGUGGGUACGGGCAGACUAGAGUGCGGUAGGGGAGACUGGAAUUCCUGGUGUAGCGGUGAAAUGCGCAGAUAUCAGGAGGAACACCGGUGGCGAAGGCGGGUCUCUGGGCCGUAACUGACGCUGAGGAGCGAAAGCGUGGGGAGCGAACAGG
rnacentral:rRNA from 1 species